AUGAAUACAACUCCAUUUCUGCGGCACGGGGGUGCAUUAAACAGUGCAGCUUUAGUGCAGGAGGUUUUUGUACAGACACUGAAUGAGGUCGUGUCACUGUGGAGGACUUUUGGUGGAGGAACUCGACUCUCUAUUGGAAGUGAUGCUCGGCCCACCCUCACAGUGUUGCCCCCAUCCAGUGUGGAGCUGCAACAGGGAAAGGCUACAUUUGUGUGUUUGGCCAACAAGGGCUUCCCCUCAGACUGGACGCUGAGCUGGAAGGUGGACGAUAGCAGCUGGACGUCAGGUGUGAGUGUGAGUGGGGGUGUGCUGGAGAAGGGAAACGACCUCUACAGCUGGAGCAGCACCCUGAGCCUCACUGAGAAGCAGUGGAGGAACAUACGAGCAGUGAGCUGUGAGGCCAGACAGGGCAGCCAAAGCCCAGUCACCUAUAGCCUGACCACAAAGCAGUGCACUGACCUCUGAGAGUGUACUAUAUACACAAUUAGCAGUGCACUGACCUCUGAGAGUGUUUGACAUGCAUACUCUAAAUGUUUGAGUUUUUCUCCAUUUCAGAUUUUACUAUCAUCAGUUCUGAACUUAAUAUCUUUUCAGUGCAUGAAUGCUGUACUAAAAAUUGUGUUAAAA